AGUGAACGCUGGCGGUAGGCCUAACACAUGCAAGUCGAACGGCAGCACAGUAAGAGCUUGCUCUUACGGGUGGCGAGUGGCGGACGGGUGAGGAAUACAUCGGAAUCUACUUUUUCGUGGGGGAUAACGUAGGGAAACUUACGCUAAUACCGCAUACGACCUACGGGUGAAAGCAGGGGAUCUUCGGACCUUGCGCGAUUGAAUGAGCCGAUGUCGGAUUAGCUAGUUGGCGGGGUAAAGGCCCACCAAGGCGACGAUCCGUAGCUGGUCUGAGAGGAUGGUCAGCCACACUGGAACUGAGACACGGUCCAGACUCCUACGGUAGGCAGCAGUGGGGAAUAUUGGACGAUGGGCGAGAGCCUGAUCCAGCCAUACCGCGUGAGGGAAGAAGGCCUUCGGGUUGUAAAGCCCUUUUGUUGGGAAAGAAGAGCAGCAGGUUAAUACCCCGCUGUUCUGACGGUACCCAAAGAAUAAGCACCGGCUAACUUCGUG
rnacentral:rRNA from 1 species